GAGAGAUUAAUACCCCAUAGUAUCUUGAAGACACAUGUCUAUGAGAUUAAAGCUUCGGCACUUUGAGAUGGGCGUGCGGCUAGAUUAGGUAGUUGGUAGGGUAACGGCCUACCAAGCCGACGAUCAGUAGCUGAUGUGAGAGCAUGAUCAGCCACACGGGCACUGAGACACGGGCCCGACUCCUACGGGAGGCAGCAGUGAGGAAUAUUGGUCAAUGGAGGAAACUCUGAACCAGCCAUGCCGCGUGGAGGAUGAAGGUCCUCUGGAUUGUAAACUCCUUUUAUAAAAGAAGAAACCCCAUUUUUCUAAAUGGGUUGACGGUACUUUAUGAAUAAGCACCGGCUAACUCCGUG
rnacentral:rRNA from 1 species